AGAAGCUCGGGACUUGGAACUCUCUGAAGCAUAAACUAGCUCUUCUUCCUCUCCCCAGAGAACCUAGUAUUUACGGGUAUGGAGAAAAGCAGUGGAGAGUCAUAAGGAGGGCAUUUGCAUCAAGCCAAAUCACAUGGAUGAAAAGGUUGGAUGCCCUACAGGGACAUACUUCUGAUAGCUGUCUGCAGUGUCUUCC
rnacentral:lncRNA from 1 species